rnacentral:rRNA from 1 species
UACGUAGGUGGCAAGCGUUGUCCGGAAUUAUUGGGCGUAAAGCGCGCGCAGGCGGUUCUUAAGUCUGAUGUGAAAGCCCACGGCUCAACCGUGGAGGGUCAUUGGAAACUGGGGAACUUGAGUGCAGAAGAGGAAAGUGGAAUUCCAAGUGUAGCGGUGAAAUGCGUAGAUAUCGAGAGGAACACCGGUGGCGAAGGCGGCGAUCUGGACGAUGACUGACGCUGAGACGCGAAAGCGUGGGGAGCAAACAGG